rnacentral:lncRNA from 1 species
GGAUAUAAUGGACUGCCUUUCCGCUGCACACAGGGUUCCACUUUGUUCUGAGCCCCUGUCCCUCUGUCUCUGUUUUCUUCUGUCUUUCUUCUUUCUUGCCUGUUAAACUUUUUACUUCUUAACGACCACUCCACAUGUGUCUGUGUCAUUACUCCUAAUGGCACAAAACUAAGGACUCUGGUGUUCCUGCAGUCAUGGAAGCUGCAUCACUAUUAGAAGUUGAUAUGGGAAAUGAAGUACCUCUGACUCCUUGAAAUAAAUUACAACCCUAGAGACUUUAGAAGACUGUCUAGGUUCCAGUUUUGUUAACCAGAAAAUAAGAAUGGCUUUGCCCACUAAUCAACAUCUCUUGACAAGU